UGGGGAAUAUUGGACAAUGGGGGCAACCCUGAUCCAGCGAUGCCGCGUGAGUGAUGAAGGCCUUAGGGUUGUAAAACUCUUUCAGGGGUGACGAUAAUGACGGUAACCCCAGAAGAAGCUCCGGCUAACUCCGUGCCAGCAGCCGCGGUAAUACGGAGGGAGCUAGCGUUGUUCGGAAUGACUGGGCGUAAAGCGCGCGUAGGCGGACAGACAAGUUGGGGGUGAAAGCCCGGGGCUCAACCUCGGAACUGCCCUCAAAACUGUUUGUCUGGAAUCCUGGAGAGGUGAGCGGAAUUCCUAGUGUAGAGGUGAAAUUCGUAGAUAUUAGGAAGAACACCAGUGGCGAAGGCGGCUCACUGGCCAGGCAUUGACGCUGAGGUGCGAAAGCGUGGGGAGCGAACAGGAUUAGAUACCCCCGUAGUCC
rnacentral:rRNA from 1 species